rnacentral:piRNA from 1 species
UAAAAAAAAAACAUUGUGGAUUUGGUACCUC